rnacentral:rRNA from 1 species
CUACGGGAUGCACCAGUGGGAAAUAUUGCACAAUGGAGGAAACUCUGAUGCAGCAACGCCGCGUGGAGGAUGACACUCUUCGGAGCGUAAACUCCUUUUAUAUAGGAAGAAGAUGACGGUACUAUAUGAAUAAGCGCCGGCUAACUCCGUGCCAGCAGCCGCGGUAAUACGGAGGGCGCAAGCGUUACUCGGAAUCACUGGGCGUAAAGAGCGUGUAGGCGGAUUAAAAAGUCAGAAGUGAAAUCCUAUAGCUUAACUAUAGAACUGCUUCUGAAACUCUUAAUCUAGAAUAUGGGAGAGGUAGAUGGAAUUUCUGGUGUAGGGGUAAAAUCCGUAGAGAUCAGAAGGAAUACCGAUUGCGAAGGCGAUCUACUAGAACAUUAUUGACGCUGAGACGCGAAAGCGUGGGGAGCAAACAGGAUUAGAUACCCUGGUAGUC